GCCUUUGUGGUGUAGUGGUCAGCACGCUCGACUCGUAACCGAGAGGUCCGUAUUUCGAUUCCCGGUUAGGGCA
rfam:Stegodyphus mimosarum contig52156, whole genome shotgun sequence.